UACGUAGGGUGCGAGCGUUAAUCGGAAUUACUGGGCGUAAAGCGUGCGCAGGCGGCUUCGCAAGUCAGGCGUGAAAUCCCCGGGCUUAACCUGGGAAUGGCGUCUGAAACUACGGAGCUGGAGUGUGGCAGAGGGAGGUAGAAUUCCACGUGUAGCGGUGAAGUGCGUAGAUAUGUGGAGGAACACCGAUGGCGAAGGCAAUCCCCUGGGCCUGCACUGACGCUCAUGCACGAAAGCGUGGGGAGCAAACAGG
rnacentral:rRNA from 1 species